rnacentral:rRNA from 1 species
AUUGAACGCUGGCGGCAGGCCUAACACAUGCAAGUCGAGCGAGCGGCGGACGGGUGAGUAAUGUCUGGGAAACUGCCUGAUGUAGGGGGAUAACUACUGGAAACGGUCGCUAAUACCGCAUAACAUAAGAUGUGCCCAGAUGGGAUUAGCUAGUAGGUGGGGUAACGGCGCACCUAGGCGACGAUCCCUAGCUGGUCUGAGAGGAUGACCAGCCACACUGCAACGGAGACACGGUCCAGACUCCUGCGGGCGGCAGCAGUGGGGAAUAGUGCACAAUGGGAGCAAUCCUGAUGCAGCCAUGCCGCGUGUGUGAAGAAGGCCUUCGGGUUGUAAAGCACUUUCAGCGGGGAGGCGUUACCCGCAGAAGAAGCACCGGCUAACUCCGUGCCAGCAGCCGCGGUAAUUC